AAGUAAAAGUCGUAACAAGGUCUCCGUUGGUGAACCAGCGGAGGGAUCAUUACAGAGUGUAAAAACUCCCAAAACCCCAUGUUGACAUGACCUGAAAGGCCUUCCACCCCCGGCGGGGGGGCCCGGGACUCAGCGCCCGGCCCCGCCCCGGGGGCGGCUCGGCUCGUUGCCUCGGCGCCCGGCCCUAAGCGGUCCGUGCGCCGGGGGACCACCAAACUCGUAUUUUCUACAGGUAUCUCUGAGGCCUAACGGCAACCGUAACAACUUUCAACAACGGAUCUCUUGGCUCUGGCAUCGAUGAAGAACGCAGCGAAAUGCGAUAAGUAUUGUGAAUUGCAGAAUCCAGUGAAUCAUCGAAUCUUUGAACGCACAUUGCGCCCGCCGGUCAAUCCGGCGGGCAUGCCUGUCCGAGCGUCAUUUCAACCCUCAAGCCUCAGCGGCCUCACCGCCGCGCCGGCCUGGUGUUGGGGCGUCCCCCUCCGCUUCCGGGAGGGGGAGGCCCCCAAAUCGAUAGGCGGCUCCCCCGUCGAACCGAGCGCAGUAGUUUACCCCUAAAACGCUCGGCCCUCGCGGGCGGCUCCAGCCUGAACUGCCGGCCCCUCCGGGCCCACGCACCUCCAAAGGUUGACCUCGGAUCAGGUAGGAAUACCCGCUGAACUUAAGCAUAUCAAUAAGCGGAGG
rnacentral:rRNA from 1 species